CACUGACCUAAAUCUGUCCAAAACCCUAAUCCUGGUGCUUUUUGCAUAAAAUAGAUUUCUGCACACCCUUAAGCUACUGUUGCCGUCUCUGCUAGGGUUUGGUCCUCUGUUUCGUUCGAGUUAGUUCAAUCUCGUUGCUCUUGCACCUCUUCAAUAUGCUAGUGGGGCUGCUGUAGUGGUGGGCUUAGGUGUCAAAGUUAUUUGCUAGCUCAUUUCAGUUUAUGUGAGCAGAUGUGAGAACCCCUAGCAGUGGUGAUGGUAAUAAGGAUGUUGCAGCUUGAUGGAUUGGACAGGUGUUAGGCCCACUAUGGGGCCCAUUACUGGAGGAUUUUAUUAUUUAUGUUUUUCUUGUCCGAACAAGGCCUAGUAUAUUUAUUUGUUUUCUUUUCAGUAUACUUUCUGGUUGGGCCAUGUGGAGUCCUUUUCUUGUAAUUUGGGUAUAUCUGACGUAUUGUAUACCUUCAUACCCUAAAUCUCGUACUCUCUGAAUAUUCAUGUAUGU